UCACUGGGUCAAGUCCCAUAACUCUGGCAUUUAUUUUGGGCAAAUUAUGCCCCCUUUUGGACUUAGAAAAUUCUGGUUAAAGUUUUACAUGCGAGUUUCUAUCUCCAAAACUAAUGCAGAUAUUGAAACUUCACAUGUGCCUUCGGGGUUAUAAAACUAGUUGAUAGCAGCAAGUCCCAUAACUGAUAUGCAUUUUGGUCAAAUUAUGUCCCCUUUUGAACUUAAAACUCUUUUGAUAUUUAACCUGUUUGGGAAAUAUUUUCCUGCUUCUGGGACAAUAUUUCGAAUAGUCGAGCUUGACUGUCUUAUGGACAGCUCUUGUUUUUGUUUUACACAUGCCUUUUGUAUCUAUACACACAACUACAACAGGGGCUCUGUGGAAACAUGUCUGUACGUCUAGGCAUUGGUAUAAUGGGUAACCAACGUUCAGAGUUUGGAACAUAUAGGGUGUGUAUGUUUACAUUUUUUGUGACAACAAAUUUGAUAUACUUGUUUCUCUUUUUACACAUGCCUCCCUGUAUCUAUACAUUUAACAGGGUUACGGAAAACACUUACCACCAUAUCUUGGCAAUGGUAUAUAUGGAUGACCGACGUUUAGAUGUACAAAGUUUUACAACGAUUCUGGAGCAUAUAGGGUGUGUAUGUUUACUUUUUGUUACAUGUGGCAACACUUUGAUAUAUUUGUUUCUCUUUUUACACAUGCCUCUCUGUAUGUAUACACGCAACAGGGUCACCAUGGAAACGUACCGCCACAAACACAUAUAGACAAUGACUGACGUUCAGAUGAGCAGAUUUUAGAGCAUAUACGGUUAGUACAUGUAUGUCUACUUUUCCUUUUAUGGGGCAACGCUUUGAUACAUUUGUUUUUGUUUUUACACAUGCCUUUCUGUAUUUAUACAUUCAACCUUAACAGGGUUACCAUGGAAACGUACUUCAAUAUCUGGGAAAUGGUAUAUUGGAUGAGAAACGUUCAGAUGUACAAAGUCAUAACAGCAGAUUUUAGAGCAUAUAAGGUGUGUAUGUUUACUUUUCCUUUUCUUUUUUUUUUUUGAUGUCACUUUGAUAUAUUUGUUUUUCAUUUUACACAUGCCCCUCUGUAUCUAUAAACACAACAGGAUUACAUGGAAACUAACAUCUACAUCUAGGCAAAGGUAUAAAUAGAUGACGACGUCCAAAUCUACAAACGGCAGUGAGAGAAAUCCUGCAACCGAGAAUGAUCACGUGACAAACGCUUAGCUUUAAAUAGUCUAAGCUUUGCUAGGACCCGUAAAUAAAUUCAGGCAAAACUUGAAUAUAAACAAACAUCUGGAUAAUAUGUACGGUUAUUAAAAACUCAAUCUAUCUUGCAUGUGUUUUGCUGCGUAAUUCUUGGUGUUCGGUGUUUGCUGCUUUGUCAGGGAUUUGUUUGGCUAUUUGAUGGUGUUUGUGGUGGUUUUGGUGUUUGUUGUGGUGUUUGUGGUGGUGUUGUGGUGUUUGUUGUGUUUUUUAGUGUCUUCCAUAUGGUUUUCUCGGUUGUAUUCGAUCAUGUUUGUGUUGUUUUGUUAAAAUGGGCGUUUGGUGCGAAUUGUAUGUCGCAUUUGGUUCUUCAUCGUUCGUUCCGUUACAAGGUGAAUUUCUUUCAGCCAUUAGCAGUACAUUAUAACUAGAUUUAUUCAUGUACAAAAAAUCAAUCGAAUAAGUUAAAUAUUGCAUUGUGUUUUUUUGUUGUUUUUUUUACUUUUCCCAUCAGUUUUAGAUAGCUGCAGAGACAUACCAUGAAAUUUGCAGACGACAGAUAUGGGGUGCAGGCGAGAUCUGGGUUAAACGCGCGAAAGCUGCAAAGACAUGCCAUGAAAUAUGCAGACGACAGACAUGCGGUGAUCUGGGUUGAACGCGCGGAAUUGUUUUAUUAUUAUUUCUGUGUUUUACUCUUUUUGUUUUGUAUUUCUUUUUUCUACUACAAUGCUGGGGUAUGUAUACUUGAACAAAAAAGACGCAGACGGACAUGGAGAUGCAGACCAAGCAAUAUAUGCGUUUGUCUUUAUGAUGAACAGGUAUGUAUAUUGCUACUUAUGUUAUCCUUUUUUGUAUGCAUUUUUUUCAACCUGGUGGCUGAUGUUUACAAGCACGUGUGAAUAUAUCAUGUUGUAGACAAUGCAAUGGUUUAGUGGAUGGUGCAGCUAUGGUACAUGAUAUUGACUACAAGCACGUGCGUGGAUGUCAUGUUGUAGAUUUCACAGUGGUUAAGUGGAUGCUGCAACUUGAUCCUUUUUCUGAGUAAUUCUGGAGCGUAGGAAUGUGCAUUCAACCUCUGGCUAUGGUGAAAGUAAAACUCGGAGUAUCAGACAAGAAACUCAAAACUAUUCGAUGAGAAACUCAGGCUAUCAGAUGAGGAACCCGAACUAUCCGACAAGAAGCAGUUUCCUGUACCAUACACGAAGAAAAAUUUAGUUGAUGGAACUACAGUUGCCGUAGAAUUGCCUUGCUGGUACUUAAACGAUGCCGAUAACCAGAGGGGCACUGGUAACCAAGCGAUGUCGCUCAUCAGAGGUGUUCUGGACGCCUUAUGUCAACAUAGUAAUCAACUGUUCUCGACAAGCAGACGACACUUGCUGCUUCUACCUGAUGACGCCAGUGGCGGAAGAAGGGACCCGAUGCCUGGAGUAACUUUGCAGUAUAAAAUUUUGCACUGUUCGAUUGGUCAAGAUAGAGUGGUUUUAGUGGAAUUCAGCCCUUGAUGGACAUAUCGUCUGUAUUUGCCCUGUCCUGGUGAUGGUAGAGAGCUCUUCCACACCUCGUGCACAUAUCAGAAUCCGCGAGGUAGGCGACGAAUUUAUUCAGGUUUAAAACGGCAGGAAGACAGUGUUUUACAUUGUUGAAAGACAAAGAAAAAGAAUCGAUUCCAGAACGUGCCGUCCUGUGUUUGUUGUGUUCGACAGUUGAUGGGAGAGUCCGGUGCAUGCCAG